rnacentral:rRNA from 1 species
CAGCCGCCGCGGUAAUACGAAGGGGGCUAGCGUUGUUCGGAUUUACUGGGCGUAAAGCGCACGUAGGCGGAUCGAUCAGUCAGGGGUGAAAUCCCGGAGCUCAACUCUGGAACUGCCUUUGAUACUGUCGAUCUGGAGUAUGGAAGAGGUGAGUGGAAUUCCGAGUGUAGAGGUGAAAUUCGUAGAUAUUCGGAGGAACACCAGUGGCGAAGGCGGCUCACUGGUCCAUUACUGACGCUGAGGUGCGAAAGCGUGGGGAGCAAACAGGAUUAGAUACCCCAGUAGUCCCUGUCUCUUAUAC